UGGGGAAUAUUGCACAAUGGGCGAAAGCCUGAUGCAGCAACGCCGCGUGAGUGAUGAAGGCCUUCGGGUUGUAAAGCUCUGUCUUUUGGGACGAUAAUGACGGUACCAAAGGAGGAAGCCACGGCUAACUACGUGCCAGCAGCCGCGGUAAUACGUAGGUGGCAAGCGUUGUCCGGAUUUACCGGGCGUAAAGGAUGCGUAGGCGGAUUUUUAAGUGAGAUGUGAAAACCCUAAGCUUAACUUGGGGACUGCAUUUCAUACUGGAAAUCUAGAGUGCGGGAGAGGAGAAUGGAAUUCCUAGUGUAGCGGUGAAAUGCGUAGAGAUUAGGAAGAACACCAGUGGCGAAGGCGAUUCUCUGGACCGUAACUGACGCUGAGGCAUGAAAGCGUGGGUAGCAAACAGGAUUAGAUACCCUGGUAGUCCACGCCGUAAACGAUGAGUACUAGGUGUAGGAGGUAUCGACCCCUUCUGUGCCGCAGUUAACACAAUAAGUACUCCGCCUGGGAAGUACGAUCGCAAGAUUGAAACUCAAAUGAAUUGACGGGGUCAUAGCUG
rnacentral:rRNA from 1 species